GACGCCGUGUGAGGGAUGAAGGCUUUCGGGUCGUAAACCUCUGUCAGGAGGGAAGAACCGCAUGGGGAUGAACAAGCCCUGUGCCUGACGGUACCUCCAAAGGAAGCACCGGCUAACUCCGUGCCAGCAGCCGCGGUAAUACGGAGGGUGCAAGCGUUAUUCGGAAUUACUGGGCGUAAAGCGUGCGUAGGCGGCUUGGUAAGUCAGGUGUGAAAGCCCUCGGCUCAACCGAGGAACUGCAUUUGAUACUGCCAGGCUAGAGUGUGGGAGAGGGCAGCGGAAUUCCCGGUGUAGGAGUGAUAUCCGUAGAUAUCGGGAGGAACACCAGUGGCGAAGGCGGCUGCCUGGACCACAACUGACGCUGAGGCACGAAAGCGUGGGUAGCAAACAGGAUUAGAUACCC
rnacentral:rRNA from 1 species